rnacentral:rRNA from 1 species
AUUGAACGCUGGCGGCAGGCCUAACACAUGCAAGUCGAGCGCCCCGCAAGGGGAGCGGCAGACGGGUGAGUAACGCGUGGGAAUCUACCCAUCUCUACGGAAUAACUCAGGGAAACUUGUGCUAAUACCGUAUACGCCCUUCGGGGGAAAGAUUUAUCGGAGAUGGAUGAGCCCGCGUUGGAUUAGCUAGUUGGUGGGGUAAAGGCCUACCAAGGCGACGAUCCAUAGCUGGUCUGAGAGGAUGAUCAGCCACACUGGGACUGAGACACGGCCCAGACUCCUACGGGAGGCAGCAGUGGGGAAUAUUGGACAAUGGGCGCAAGCCUGAUCCAGCCAUGCCGCGUGAGUGAUGAAGGCCCUAGGGUUGUAAAGCUCUUUCACCGGUGAAGAUAAUGACGGUAACCGGAGAAGAAGCCCCGGCUAACUUCGUG